CAGGUAUAAAUUUGAAUGUCUAUUGCCGCCCCACCAGAACUCCGAAAGUGUAGAAUAAGGCAUGACUAAUUCACAUUAUACUUUUUGACCGUUCAAUGCUAAAAAAAUCUAGAUGUUCAACUAGAAUCCCAUCUACUUCUUUCUGACAUCUGAAUUGCAUUUCGUCUCUCAACUAUAAUGAUGGUACGGCAUAUCUAUCAAAAAGCAGC
rnacentral:lncRNA from 1 species